GCGCAUAAUUAAUCAACAUGCUGAGGCGUGUUCGGAUUCCCAUCUGGGUGUUGUGUCACUCUUGUUUAACAUUCGGUAAAUUACAAGAAUGUGUGAUACCUGGGUAGCACUCGGGUGAAAUCUAAAUAUAAUCCUGAAGAUUCCGCCGUUGCUUGCGCGUACAGCUGGCCACAGAAAAAUUGCAACACUUUUUUUCGAUGGGUUUCGGAAUGCAGCUUGCUCACCGAGCGAUUCUUAUUUAUAGAUCUAUGAGUAAGAACUAGAGACUCUAAAAAGAGAGAGACUCGUCAACUCAUCACGUGACUAUGGGUGAUCCUAAUUGGCUGGAGUCUGGAUUGCACAUCUGUGCUCCAUGAAUAUGUACGAUAACUUGACAAAAUACGUUACGUAUGUUGAAGCAGCUUGUGUUGCCUUUUGACUAUUUUUAAUUUGAAUUUUUAUGUAUUUUGGAGAUGCCACAUACAUGUUGUGCAGAGAGAUGUUUCAAUAAAUCCAGUGAUGGAUAUACAUUAGAUUUCCCAAGUAAAUCAAUAUCGAAAAGCAUGGAUAGAUGCUGUUUUUGGAUCAAGAUAUGGAUAAUCUGAUAUUAUAUGAAGUAUUAAUAGUUAUAACGAAAGUAAUACAAAAUAAACAUAACGGAAAAGCAGAAAAUAAUUUUAUUAAAUUAUAUGAGAGACAAUGAAGAUUUUGCAAGAAGCUGCUUACAUUACAGCAAUGGCAAUAAAAAAAUAUUAAAUAAUAUGUGGGCUUCCAUCACUAUACCCUUAAAUGCUAUUGGAAAUGGACCUUAAAAGCAAGCAAAAGAAUGGCGAAAGACAUGAAACUGAAAAGCAAAUGUGCUAAAAAAGUCACAAAAUCAAAAUUACGCUAGUGGUACAGGUGGAGGAAAGUACCAUCAAAAGUACUUCAGUUAACAGAAGAAAGUUUAUUGGAAAUCAUAGAUCCAGAAGCUACUAGUUUGGAUGAUAUAUACCUGAAGGAGGAAAUUUUAAUAGGACAAUACAGAAGGAUCUGUAUCUACUAAUAAUAUAAUCCCAAAAAGGGAAUUCUUUCAUACUUCUAAAGGAUUGUACAAAACCACUGCGCAAGAAAUCGAAUUAAGAAAACCACUUUUAUCUAAUUUUCUACAAAUGAAAAGGAAACAUACUUCUAUAUUGGAUACUAGCAAUAAAAUGUGUAAGAUGGAUGACAAUCAAAUCUCCAUCAAUAUCCGCAAGCGAACUUCUUGACGACACAGAUUUUUCAACACGAUUAAGAAAUGGAAAGCAAUAUUUCUAAACAUAAUGUUUUUGAAUCUGACAAUAAAUCUUUUGAAUCUGCUCUUGAAUUUAAUGACAUUAUUUUCAUAGAUGAAAAUACGAAUACCAUAUCACCUGAGGUCAAUUCUAAACGUUAUCAAGCGCAAGACAAAGUUAUCAAUAGUAAUAAAGAAAAUAAUUCCAGUAUAGCUGUACAAUUAAUGCGUGAGAAUAUGAAAAUGAAAUAAGAAAAAUUGAAGAUUUUUUCUUUAAAGAAAAAUUACUUUU
rnacentral:lncRNA from 1 species